rnacentral:rRNA from 1 species
CGGACCGGCCGGCACGGUCGGAGUAACAACGUAUCACCACNCUCAUACUCGGGGAUAGCCUUUCGAAAGAAAGAUUAAUACCCGAUGUUAUAGUCCUACCGCAUGAUGGGAUUAUUAAAGAAUUUCGGUAUGGGAUGGGGAUGCGUUCCAUUAGUUAGUUGGCGGGGUAACGGCCCACCAAGACAACGAUGGAUAGGGGUUCUGAGAGGAAGGUCCCCCACAUUGGAACUGAGACACGGUCCAAACUCCUACGGGAGGCAGCAG